rnacentral:rRNA from 1 species
UGACCUCAAAUCAGGUAGGACUACCCGCUGAACUUAAGCAUAUCAAUAAGCGGAGGAAAAGAAACUAACAAGGAUUCCCCUAGUAACUGCGAGUGAAGAGGGAAAAGCUCAAAUUUAAAAUCUGGCAGCUUCGCUGUCCGAGUUGUAAUUUAGAGAAGUGUUACCCGUGCUGGACCGUGUACAAGUCUUCUGGAACGGAGCGUCAUAGAGGGUGAGAAUCCCGUCUUUGACACGGACUACCAGUACAUUGUGGUACACUCUCAAAGAGUCGUGUUGUUUGGGAAUGCAGCACUAAAUGGGUGGUAAAUUCCAUCUAAAGCUAAAUAUUGGCGAGAGACCGAUAGCAAACAAGUACCGUGAGGGAAAGAUGAAAAGAACUUUGGAAAGAGAGUUAAACAGUACGUGAAAUUGUUAAAAGGGAAACGCUUGAAGUCCAGUCGCGUUGGUUGGAAAUCAGUCUUGCUUUUGCUUGAUGUACUUUCUAAUUGACGGGUCAACAUCAGUUUUGACCGUUGGAAAAAGAUUAGAGGAAUGUGGCAUCUUCGGAUGUGUUAUAGCCUUUAGUUGUAUACAACGGUUGGGACUGAGGAACUCAGCACGCCGAAAGGCCAGGUACUUGUACCAUGUACGUGCUUAGGAUG